rnacentral:rRNA from 1 species
UACAGAGGGUGCGAGCGUUGUCCGGAAUCACUGGGCGUAAAGGGCGCGUAGGCGGCUCGGUAAGGUUGCGGUGAAAGCCCGGGGCUCAACCCCGGGUCGGCCGUGGCAACUGCUGAGCUGGAGCACUGUAGAGGCAGGUGGAAUUCCGGGGUGUAGCGGUGGAAUGCGUAGAGAUCCGGAAGAACACCGGUGGCGAAGGCGGCCUGGCUGG